AUUGAACGCUCGCGGCAUGCCUUACACAUGCAAGUCGAACGGUAACAGGUCUUCGGAUGCUGACGAAUGGCGAACGGGUGAGUAAUACAUCGGAACGUGCCUAGUAGUAGGGGAUCACUACUCGAAAGAGUGGCUAAUACCGCAUGAGAUCUACGGAUGAAAGCAGGGGAUCGCAAGACCUUGUGCUACUAGAGCGGCCGAUGGCAGCUCAGGUAGUUGGUGGGAUAAAAGCUUACCAAGCCGACGAUCUGGAGCUGCGCUGAGAGGACGAUCGGCCACAAUGGGACAGAGCCACGGCCGAGACUCCUACGGGCAGCAGCAGUGGGGAAUUUUGGACAAUGGGCGCAAGCCUGAUCCAGCAAUGCCGCGUGAAGGAUGAAGGACUUCGGGUUGUAAACUGCUUUUGUACGGAACGAAAAGCCCUGGGUUAAUACCCUGGGGUCAUGACGGUACCGUAAGAAUAAGCACCGGCUAACUACGUGCCAGCCGCCGCCGUAACAC
rnacentral:rRNA from 1 species